CCAUUCGACAUAGUCAUUCGACAAGGAUGUCAUAAGCAUUCUCAUAUAAGAGACGAUCUCCCAAUCGGUAAGAAGUCCGACUUGCUUAAUUGAAGCCGGACAGUGAAUGCGAGUUCCUAGUGGGCCAUUUUUGGUAAGCAGAACUGGCGAUGCGGGAUGAACCGAACGCGCGGUUAAGGUGCCAAAGUCGACGCUCAUCAGACCCCACAAAAGGUGUUGGUUGCUCUAGACAGCAGGACGGUGGCCAUGGAAGUUGGAAUCCGCUAAGGAGUGUGUAACAACUCACCUGCCGAAGCAACUAGCCCUGAAAAUGGAUGGCGCUCAAGCGUCGCACCUAUACCGUGCCGUCGGAGCAGAUGCGAAGCUC
rnacentral:ncRNA from 1 species